GGUUGCGAUCAUACCAGCUCGAAUGCACCGGAUCCCAUCAGAACUUCGCAGUUAAGCGUGCUUGGGGAGAGUAUUACUAGGAUGGGUGACCCCUGGGAAGUCCUCAUGUUGCAACCCC
rnacentral:rRNA from 1 species